GCCAAGCUACUACUCCAGCAGCGGUCAUUGCUCUAGGCCUUGUGGUAAUCUGCUUGCAGCCGCCAGGGCGAAGAAUCGUGGCUGUCGAGUUCUGUAAUGGCAUCAACGACCUCAACAAUGUCAUCUUUCUGGAGGAGUUAGGAAGUCAAAUCCGCUCUCGAGGUUCACCAGGAAUGAGUUCAGGUCGACGACUGGGGUCAAGUUUGCAACUCGGAGCUUGAACGUCGACAAGAAGGUCACCAAAGCUUAGAUUUGGGCUGAAGAUGCUGAUUUGGGUUGGCAAGAAAUGUUCUUUACUGAGCAAGAGAGGCGAUUUACUUCAAAACCCCUCUAUUUCCAUUUUUCUAAUCAGUGUUUUUUUAUAUUUUGGCAUGAUUUUGUCUAUGUGAAGCUGUAGAUGCUGAUUUGGGUUGGCAAGAAAUGUUCUUUCUUUUAUAGUAUUUAGAUUUUGAGAUCUGUAGCAUUUUCCUGAUGUGGAUUUUUAGGAGUAUAUUUUUUCUCAUUUUUUUAGUUAUAAAAUCGUAUAGAUCUGGAAUUAUUAGUUGAUGCUUCUUCCAUGUGGAUUUUUCGGAGUAUAUUUUUCCUUUAGUUUUUACUUUUUAGUUUUAUGAUAGUUUGUUCUAUCAGUUCUUGAUCUAGAUUAGUUGAUUUCAUAGACACAUUUACAUUUGCUAGAUUGAGUUCCUGACUUUUUUCUUUCACGUACUUGAUAACUCAUGUUUGAUCUGUAUGUUGGGACCUCUUUGAUUGAUAUGUAUGUAUACUGUUGUUAGAUUAAUGAUGCACACAUACUGUUCGAUAAAAUGCUGAUGAGAGAUGUUUCUUCUUGGAACGCUCAUCAUAUCAAACUUUGCACGUCUUUAUCAUGUUAUGGCCUUUAAUCUGAAGUGUUCUCUGGAGCAGAUCUUUAGGUGGGUCCCAUUUGCCACCCAAUGAUGAGUAUUUGUAGCUAGAUCAUUAAAGCAUGAUCUAGCCCUAAGCUUCCUACUCGACACAACGCAGCGUAGGUCUAUAGGUGGGUCCUGCUGAGCAUCAAGUCAGUGUAGAGUUGUUUCUUGACAACAAAAUUCUAUCUUCAACAAUAUGCAGUUCAUUGUCAAACGGGUGCUCCUGGAACAAUAAUUCUUUUAGCUUGUAUCAAAGGGCCCUAGCCCUACACUGACCCUGAAUCUGUGCCCCCAGAAUGGGUUGAUGUCUAUAUUAAAGCUCAACUUGUGGCCAUUGGCACGCCUUAAAUCAAACUGUCCCGAUAAUUUGAUCAUCAUCCAAGAAUCAGAGUGGUUGA